GACGAACGCUGGCGGCGUGCCUAAUACAUGCAAGUCGAGCGGACGAAUCGAAAGCUUGCUUUUGAUUCGUUAGCGGCGGACGGGUGAGUAACACGUGGGCAACCUGCCCUGUAGACGGGGAUAACACCGAGAAAUCGGUGCUAAUACCGGAUAACACGAAAUGUCGCAUGACGUUUCGUUGAAAGACGGCGCAAGCUGUCGCUACAGGAUGUGCCCGCGGCGCAUUAGCUAGUUGGUGAGGUAACGGCUCACCAAGGCGACGAUGCGUAGCCGACCUGAGAGGGUGAUCGGCCACACUGGGACUGAGACACGGCCCAGACUCCUACGGGAGGCAGCAGUAGGGAAUCUUCCGCAAUGGACGAAAGUCUGACGGAGCAACGCCGCGUGAGCGAAGAAGGCCUUCGGGUCGUAAAGCUCUGUUGUUAGGGAAGAACAAGUAACGCAGUAACUGGCGUUACCGUGACGGUACCUAACGAGAAAGCCACGGCUAACUACGUG
rnacentral:rRNA from 1 species